CCUACGGGAGGCAGCAGUGGGGAAUAUUGCGCAAUGGGGGCAAGCCUGAUGCAGCGACGCCGCGUGAGUGAAGAAGUCCUUCGGUAUGUAAAGCUCUUUCAGCAGGGAAGAAAAUGAAGGUACGUGAGUGUGUAUGUCUGGCCAAUAACGGUAUAGCAGCCGCGGUAAUACGGCGGGGGCGAACGUGAUGCGGAGUUACUGGGUGUAAAGGGGGCGUAGACGGGUGUGUAAGUCAGGAGUGAAAGACUUGGGCUCAACCGUAGAAAUGCUAGUGAAACUGUACGUCUGGAGUACAGGAGAGGUAAGCGGAAUUCCUGGUGUAGCGGUGAAAUGCGUAGAUAUUAGGAGGAACACCGAUGGCGAAGGCGGCUUACUGGACUGAAACUGACGUUGAGGCUCGAAAGCGUGGGUAGCAAACAGGAUUAGAUACCCCUGUAGUC
rnacentral:rRNA from 1 species